rfam:Arabis alpina cultivar Pajares scaff_61518_1_contig_13, whole genome shotgun sequence.
AUUCCAUGGUGAGGACAACUUGUGGUGUAUCCUUUGAGACGUUCCCAAGCUUCAAUGAGAGAUUCGUGACUGUCCUGCCUAAAUGAGUUGAUAUCGCUUCUGUACU